AAUCAACGCUGGCGGCGUGCCUCAGACAUGCAAGUCGAACGAUUAAAGCUCUCUUCGGAGAGUGCAUAGAGUGGCGCACGGGUGAGUAACACGUAAGUAAUCUACCCUCGAGUGGGGAAUAACGUCCGGAAACGGACGCUAAUACCGCAUAAUGCAGCGGCACCGCAAGGUGACAGUUGUUAAAGGAGAAAUUCGCUUGAGGAGGAGCUUGCGGUAGAUUAGCUAGUGGUAAGGUAAUGGCUUACCAAGGCUACGAUCUAUAACCGGUCUAAGAGGACGGUCGGUCACACUGACACUGAAUAACGGGUCAGACUCCUACGGGAGGCAGCAGUCGGGAAUUUUGGGCAAUGGGGGAAACCCUGACCCAGCAACGCCGCGUGAAGGAUGAAGUAUUUCGGUAUGUAAACUUCGAAAGAAUAGGAAGAAUUAAUGACGGUACUAUUUAUAAGGUCCGGCUAACUACGUGCCAGCAGCCG
rnacentral:rRNA from 1 species